UACAGAGGUCUCAAGCGUUGUUCGGAUUCAUUGGGCGUAAAGGGCGCGUAGGCGGCGGGGUAAGUCGGGUGUGAAAUCUCAGAGCUCAACUCUGAAACUGCACUCGAUACUGCUCUGCUUGAGGACUGGAGAGGAGACUGGAAUUCACGGUGUAGCAGUGAAAUGCGUAGAGAUCAUGAGGAAGACCAGUGGCGAAGGCGGGUCUCUGGACAGUUCCUGACACUGAGGCACGAAGGCCAGGGGAGCAAACGGG
rnacentral:rRNA from 1 species